AAAAAGAUAAGCUAAAUCUAAGCUAAUGGGUUCAUACCCCAUAAAUGAAAAUAAUUAUUCUCUUUUUA
rnacentral:tRNA from 1 species